CCCUAGCCACUUCCUUCUCCCUCCGGUCGUCGCCUCUCGUUCUCUCUCACCCCCACCUCUGAGCCGCCGUCGCCCUCCUCCGUGGUUGCUUCAAGGGCCCGCUGGGCCAUCGCCUCCGCCACCAUGCCGGCACAACCCCUUCACAGAUCCGCUUGGGCACCCGUUUAUGCCACCACGCCAGAUCCCCUCUCCCUCCCUUCCCUACCAGGUCCCCUCAGAUCCAUCCGUCGCCGCAGUUCCCAUCUCCUCCACGCGCCACUCCCUCCUCCCGUCAUCGUGUCGCUCCCCCCUUUGGCUUGACGCGCCGCCACCGAACGGCACUCCCCUCGGCCUCCGUCCUGCGACGUGUGGCCAGAUCUAGCGGGGGGCGCCCUACAUGCCAUCCGCUUGGUGGCCGGCCGCCACAGCAUCCCUCGCGGGGGUGCGUUGGUGCGCGGAUCCGGCAAGGGUAGCGCCACGAAGCAGGUGCAGCGGCCGGCCUGCUGGUGGCGGGCGUGGGAUCCUGCAUCCUGCAUCUCCGUCCGCCGCGUCCUGCAUCUCCGGCCAUCGCGGACCAAGAUCAGGCAGCACGGGUGUACGACCAGUAGCUUGGUGUGGCGGCCACUGUGAUGGCGAGGGGCACUGGCGACGCAGGGCUACAGCAGCGUGCGUGCGCCACCGAGGGGCGUGCGCGGGCAUGGCAGCCUGCGGGACCAGCAGCGGCAGUAGUAGGGCGAGGCCUUCCACGUAGAUCUUGGCCGCGAGCUGCCGAGCACACCGUGAAGGAUGACGCCGACGUGGUGCUGUAGCAGAUGGAGGGCGACUGCAUCCAGGGGAGAUUUGGUGGUGUUUGUCGAUGCACAGGUCUUCCUUGCCUGGUCAGGAUACCUUUCUUCUGUUCUGAACUCAUUGAACUUGAGUAGAACAUUCUAAAUACAACUACACUACAAGCUAACCAUUUUCAAGUGCUGCUGCCUUUCUAGUGCUUAUGCAUAUCUAAGGAAACCAAGAGUCCCACUGUUGAGCUUUUUUUUGCCCUAGUCCAAUUUUUUGUGCUGUUUUUGCCUUUAAAAGUAUGACAACCAAAUGAUAUAUAUCCUUGAAAAGUUAUAUCAUUGAGAGAUGUUACCUAUAUUCUGCUAUAGCCUGAAACUUUUGUAUGGCUUCAAACUAUGCAUCAAUUACAAUAUGUGGGUGCUGUAGGUCGAUUUGGCUCUAGGACAAGCAGCAUGUUGUUUUCAUGCUAUAGUGAUGCUACUGUUGGCUCUAUCAUUUAAUCCUUAAUAACUUGACUGAUGCAACUCUAUCCUGUAUUUUUCUUAUUGUCUUGAUUAAGCGAUCUCUUCUUUUUCUAUGCCUGACGAUGUACCUUCCUUUUUUUUCUAACUUCUUUUUGUUGCAUUGAAAAGAGCCAUUAGUUUGGACUUGCUGGAAAAGAGCCAGAUCAAGAAAUGAGGUGGCUGAGCUUGGAAUUUGAUGGCUGCUGUUAGUGUAGCUGAACUUCAAGGCUGUGAUAACUUUUGGUACUUCGGAACUUGGUGGUGUAUGUGGCUGCUGGAACUUGGUGCUAGCUGCUGGUUGCUUGCAGGUUUGUGCUUUUGGUGGAUGGAGUUUUCUUUUUGCAUUGGUUGCUAUAACGCAGGAUUUUUUGGCACUAGUUGCUGGCUGCUAGCUGCUAGCAGGGAUGCAGGCUGGAGCUUAGCGGUGGCUGCUUGGUGGAAAUUUUUGCUGGCUGCUGGUAUAGUAGUGCCUGCUAGGUGGAUUUUUUUAGUGCAGGAACUUAUCUCGGUUAUCCCUUGGAUACUACUUAUUAGAAUGUUGACGACAGAGCACUACAUGUUGGAACUUUUUAGUCGGCUGGGACUUCUGUAGUUGGAUGGUGGAUGGAUCAUUUUAUAUUUAUGUUUUAGGAUUUUGUAUAGAAACAUGUUGGAUAUUGUAUUUUGUGUGCUUUUGUAUCGAAACAUGAUGGAAAUAGUAUUUUGGAAUGUAUAGUUUGGAAAAUUAAUUAGUCCUGGAAUGUGAUUAUAAUAUAAUUAUGGUUGGCUCA